rnacentral:ncRNA from 1 species
UACCUGGUUGAUCCUGCCAGUAGUCAUAUGCUUGUCUCAAAGAUUAAGCCAUGCAAGUCUAAGUACGAGCUCUCGUACAGUGAAACUGCGAAUGGCUCAUUAAAUCAGUUAUGGUUCAUUUGAUCGUACAGUUUACUUGGAUAACUGUGGUAAUUCUAGAGCUAAUACAUGCGAGAAGCGCCGACCUCGCGGGAGGCGUGCAUUUAUCAGACCAAAAACCGGCCGCGUCUUCGGGCGCGUUCGCCUUGGUGACUCUGGAUAACUUUGCGGAUCGCACGGUCUAGCACCGGCGACGGAUCAUUCAAGUGUCUGCCCUAUCAACUUUCGUUGGUACGGUAUUUGCCUACCGAGGUUCUAAGGGGUGACGGGGAAUACAGGGUUAGAUUCCGGAGAGGGAGCCUGAGAAACGCCUUCCACAUCCAACGAAGGCAGCAGGCGCGCAAAUUACCCAUUCCUGCCGCGGGGCACGUAGGACGAAAAAUAUCAAUGCAGGACUCGUUUGAGGCCCAGUAAUUGGAAUGAGUACGCUUUACAAGCUUUCCUGAGUAUCCA